rnacentral:misc_RNA from 1 species
UCCGAGUUGACCCCGGCAGUCUCCCAUGAGUCCCCACCAUUACGUGCUGGCAACAUGGAACGAGGGUUGCGCUCGUUGCGGGACUUAACCCAACAUCUCACGACACGAGCUGACGACAGCCAUGCACCACCUGCACACCAGCCACAAGGGCCACGACAUCUCUGCCGUGUUCUAGUGCAUGUCAAACCCAGGUAAGGUUCUUCGCGUUGCAUCGAAUUAAGCCACAUACUCCACCGCUUGUGCAGGCCCCCGUCAAUUUCUUUGAGUUUUAAUCUUGCGACCGUACUUCCCAGGCGGCAUAUUUAUCGCGUUAGCUUCGCCACAAAAGGGGUCGAUUCCUUUUACAGCAAAUAUGCACCGUUUACGGCUAGGACUAC